GGGGGAUUCAAUGAGUCUGUUUGAUGUAAAGCUGUCCUUACAUAGUGACAGCUUUAGCAAAUAUGAAAAAAAGUUACUUUUAUAAGAGUUGCAGACUGCACCUUUAAUGGAUGUGACCUGGACAGGGUUAGCAAGGGCACUUUUCACCACUACAUGGACAGGAGACAUGGGAGGAGAAUAAUUAGGAUGGAUUCAAAGUUCAUCCUGAGCAACCUGAUAGAGGGUUUAGGUUGGCCGCCUGUGAUUGGAUAUCCGGAGGCUGUUGGAUCACUUUUCUUCUAACCGGGGGACUCACAGUCAGGACAGGAGAUCCCCUUCCAUCCAAGGAUUAGUUUGGAUAUUUAGGUCUCACUGGAGCUUCAAUGAAGACUGUCAUCCUUCUCAAUUUCUUAAGGAAUGAGAGUCAAAAGAAGCGACACCAGCCGUACCUUUACGCCCAGGCCUGCACUGACUUUACGAUGGACUGGCCCUCCUGCAGGCCACCUCGGCCUGUGUUUUCAAUGUAUGGACCUUCCAACUCUCAACCAGGUUGUGGUGGUACCUACACCUGGGAGGAAGAAGGCCUUCUGAUGGAUCAACCCAUCACGUCUCCAAGCAUGAGCCAACCUCCUGAAAGCAGAUGGUCUCCAAACCAGCUCAGCUUCAGUUCUACUCAUGACAUUGGUGGUGGACACACGUACAUCUACAGCCCUAUCUCUGAAAUAUCUGGAUUUGUGACUGACUGCUUCCCUGCUUGGAUGUCAGAGAUCGAGGUUCCAGCAGAGAGAGGAACAUCUAUACCUGCAUGGAAAGUUACAGAAGAUCCUCCAACUCAGAGAACGCUCGACUGGUGAACACUGGCUGCGGGAAUAUUGUGUAUAAUGAUCAUG
rnacentral:lncRNA from 1 species